rnacentral:rRNA from 1 species
UACGUAGGGAGCGAGCGUUGUCCGGAAUUACUGGGCGUAAAGGGUGCGUAGGCGGCUAGGCAAGUCAGAUGUGAAAUCCCCGGGCUUAACUCGGGUGGUGCAUUUGAAACUGCUUAGCUUGAGUGCAGGAGAGGAAAGCGGAAUUCCUAGUGUAGCGGUGAAAUGCGUAGAUAUUAGGAGGAACACCAGUGGCGAAGGCGGCUUUCUGGACUGUAACUGACGCUGAGGCACGAAAGCGUGGGGAGCAAACAGGAUUAGAUACCCUGGUAGUCCACGCUGUAAACGAUGGAUACUAGGUGUGGGGGAGAUACAACCUCCGUGCCGCAGCAAACGCAAUAAGUAUCCCGCCUGGGGAGUACGGUCGCAAGGCUGAA